GACGAACGCUGGCGGCGUGCUUAACACAUGCAAGUCGAACGGAAAGGCCCUGCUUUUGUGGGGUGCUCGAGUGGCGAACGGGUGAGUAACACGUGAGUAACCUGCCCUUGACUUUGGGAUAACUUCAGGAAACUGGGGCUAAUACCGGAUAGGAGCUCCUGCUGCAUGGUGGGGGUUGGAAAGUUUCGGCUGUUGGGGAUGGACUCGCGGCUUAUCAGCUUGUUGGUGGGGUAGUGGAUUACCAAGGAUUGGACGGGUAGCCGGCCUGGAAGGGUGACCGGCCACAGAGGGAUAGGGAUGGGGCCCGGAGGCAUGCGGGAGGAAUGGGUGGAGACCUUUGCGCAAUAGGCGGCGGGAGGGAGGAAGGCCGCCGCGUGCGAGAUGACGGCUUUCGGGUAGUAAAAAGCUUUCGCCUGUAACGAAGCGUGAGGAAGGGAACUGAGUAAAAAGGCACGGGCAACCUACGG
rnacentral:rRNA from 1 species